AUUACAGAAUACUUUUCUUUGGAAAUUAAUUCAUUUUAAAACAUUCAAAACAUCAAAAUUUGGCAAAAAGCUACCAUUAUAAUUAUAAAACAACAUGGACUGUUCACAAGUAAUCCAGUUCAUCGAUAACAUUUUUUAGAAAACAAUUUCUCAUCUCAUUAAAAAAAUUGUCAGUUUAUUCUAAUCUGGCUUGCCAUCCAUUAGAAAAUUGUCUAUGUAGCUCUUAUCCAAAAAAGUUUGGGAGCCCUUAGUAUAAACUGAUCAAUUCUGAGAUGGAAUUGUUCAAUAGCCAGUACUUUGAUUGCACAUCAACAGCUCUGCUUGAAACAGAAUCUCCACACUUAAUUUUUCACUCAAACAUUGCAUUUUUAUAUUUAAUAUUUAUAAUGUUAUUUUAUAGCUAUUUUUUUAGUAAAUUGUUAUGGUUACUUAACCGAAGAGCUGCCAGCUGCCGAUCUAAUCGGCUUGCAACCUGCGCAGUAAAAUUAAUUUAAUUAAUUAAUUAAUAUUGAUUAUUUUAUGAUUUUUUUGCAUUUUAUAGAUUAAAAUCUGACAGAUUUGAUCACUAUAUUAUGAAACUACAUGAUGUUAGGAGUGUAAUCAUAUAUAAUACUUAUAAACAGCAACAGCUCUGGCAGAAUGUGCAUACACCGAUGAUGUAGUAAUUGAUUGGGAUGGAGCCCAAGUAGUCAAGUCGCUUUUUAGUAAGAGUACAGCUACC
rnacentral:lncRNA from 1 species